UUGUGCUCCACGAGGUGAAUUGCAAAACGCUGUGCAGAAAAACAUCUUUUUAGAAAUUCAUUUAAUUAGUUCAUAAAAUCUGUUUUCAUUAUUUUUGCUCAUUAUUAUCAAUCUAUUGCCCUUGGAAUUACAGAUUUGUAUAUACAUAUAGGUAACUGUUGAAUUAGACGGUAUUGCGUUACCCUGAGUCACACACAGACGGAUAAACCGCGCAUAAAUUUUUGAAUUGUGGAGUUGUAGACAGUACGCAGAUCGUGACGGAAAGAAAACGGAAGAAUUAAUCCGUUGAGUGGUAGAGAAUACUAGAGAAUUUUGUAAUUUAACUGCCAACGAACAAUAAAUUAACAAAAACUAUUACCCACUACCACCCAACAUUUUACAAAAUUCUCUAAAGAGCAUUAGCAGCAUGUCCACCAAAACACCUUCAACUGGGUCGAAACAGGACGGAAGAAGUGACGCAACAAAGGCGGUUGUGAAAACUCCUGAAGCAAAUGUGGUUACUGAGAUGACAAAUCUAACAAUCGCGGAGCAUACGGCAAACGAAGCGAUUGUUGUGGGAAAUUUGGAAACCGGCACAAAUCGUGCAACAGUUGCGCAGGAUUUGACUCGCCAUCCGGACCCCGAGGUAAAUGUAUUCGGUGCUCAUGCGAAAGUUUCUAAUGUGAAGAGAGAUCGACCAAAAGUUGGACCCGGACCUGGAGAAAUGGGUCACACAGCUUCGAAAGGAGCGGAGAAAAACCCGAUAAAGGAAACAAUUCGUGUCAGAAUCACCCGCUUCAGCCAUUGUGAAAUGUGCAACAACCGUGAUAAUAGCAGAAUGGUUCAAUGCGAUUCCUGUGAUCUAUGGUAUCAUUUUUCGUGUGUAGAAGUAUCCGGAGGCAUCGAGAACCGUAGUUGGAACUGUCCAAUGUGUUCGAUAGAGGAACCUGA